GAGUUUGAUCGUGGCUCAGGAUGAACGCUGGCGGCGUGCUUAACACAUGCAAGUCGAACGAAGCACCUUGACUGAGACCUUCGGGUGGAUUUCAAGGUGACUGAGUGGCGGACGGGUGAGUAACGCGUGGGUAACCUGCCUUACAGAGGGGGAUAACAGUUGGAAACGGCUGCUAAUACCGCAUAAGCGCACAGGACCGCAUGGUCUGGUGUGAAAAAACUCAGGUGCUGUAAGAUGGACCCCGCGUUGGAUUAGCUAGUUGGCAGGGUAACGGCCUACCAAGGCGACGAUCCAUAGCCGGCCU
rnacentral:rRNA from 1 species